CGGCCCAGACUCCUACGGGAGGCAGCAGUGGGGAAUUUUGGACAAUGGGCGCAAGCCUGAUCCAGCCAUGCCGCGUGCGGGAAGAAGGCCUUCGGGUUGUAAACCGCUUUUGUCAGGGAAGAAAAGGUUCUGGCUAAUACCUGGGACUCAUGACGGUACCUGAAGAAUAAGCACCGGCUAACUACGUGCCAGCAGCCGCGGUAAUACGUAGGGUGCGAGCGUUAAUCGGAAUUACUGGGCGUAAAGCGCGCGUAGGUGGUUUGUUAAGUGGGAUGUGAAAGCCCUGGGCUCAACCUGGGAACUGCAUUCCAAACUGACGAACUAGAGUACGAUAGAGGGAGGUAGAAUUCAGAGUGUAGCGGUGAAAUGCGUAGAUAUCUGGAGGAACAUCAGUGGCGAAGGCGACUCCCUGGCCAAAGACUGACGCUCAUGUGCGAAAGUGUGGGUAGCGAACAGGAUUAGAUACCCUGGUAGUCCACACCGUAAACGCUGUCUACUAGCUGUUUGUGACUUUAAGUCGUGAGUAGCGAAGCUAACGCGAUAAGUAGACCGCCUGGGGAGUACGGCCGCAAG
rnacentral:rRNA from 1 species